rnacentral:tRNA from 1 species
UCCCUGGUGGUCUAGUGAUUAGGACUCCACGCUUUCACUGUUGAGGGCCUGGGUUCAGUCCUGGUCAGAGAA